rnacentral:tRNA from 2 species
GCGCUCGUAGCUCAACUGGAUAGAGCGACAGACUUCGGAUCUGUAGGUUAUGGGUUCAAUUCCUAUCGGGCGCACCA